rnacentral:rRNA from 1 species
UCGUGCGUCUCCAAGCUAUGAUGGAGACGCGGCGUACAGCUCAGUAACACGUGGCUAACCCACCCUUGAGACGGAGACAACCCCGGGAAACUGGGGCUAAUCCUCGAUAGGAGAAGACACCUGGAAGGGGUCUUUUCCCAAAAGGCGCUUAGAUCAUGCUUCUAGACGUCGCUCAAGGACGGGGCCGCGGCCGAUCAGGUUGUUGGUGUGGUAAUGGCUCACCAAGCCUAUAACCGGUACGGGCCGUGAGAGCGGGAGCCCGGAGAUGGGCACUGAGACAAGGGCCCAGGCCCUACGGGGCGCAGCAGUUGCGAAAACUCCGCAAUGCACGAAAGUGUGACGGGGCUACCCCGAGUGCCGUCCGCUGAGGGCGGCUUUUCCCCGGUGUAAGGAGCCGGGGGAAUAAGGAGAGGGCAAGUCUGGUGUCAGCCGCCGCGGUAAUACCAGCUCUCCGAGUGGUAGGGAUGAUUAUUGGGCUUAAAGCGUUCGUAGCUGGC